rnacentral:lncRNA from 9 species
CUUAAAAGUAUCCUGCAGGCCAAGAUGCUUCCUCCUUCCUUUCCUUUCUCCUUUCAGAAAAGUCAGUUCUGUACCAUAAUCUGAUGAUGCACCCUUCAUCCCCCUGCUUCCUUCUCCAGCCAAUCUCUUGCAUAUCUACUCCUGUUUUGAUGUCCCCUUCUUGGGGGGCUUAAAUGAAUGCAGUUCCUUUCCCUCACUUUCCAUCCUCAGGGAUAAGUAAACUUGCAAUCUUUGUGUUUCAGGGUAAUGGGAGGUGGACGGAGUUGUUGGUAUGAGGGAUCAAGCUGUUCUAUUCAGGAGGGAAUGAAGAGUGAUGAGAAGAGAUGCUGCUCAAGCUGCUCAGAGCCUAGAGGGGAGACCUGAGACCUUAAAGAAGCAGACAGAAGGAGGAAGGAAGGAUCACGGGCCUUUCGUCGGUUCUACACGAUGUCACUUUACGGCAGAUUUCACGUGGGUGGCAGAGCUGAGCCUUUGCCGCGUGUUCCAGCUCCCAACUCCAUCCCUUUCUGGAUUCCCUGCUGGACACGUUCUUUCCUCUGGGACUAGCACACUUGGAUUUGUCUCAGUUCCUUCUGGAAGCUGAAGAUGAGCAGAAACCCAUGAAAAAUCCUGGCACAUGAGGUGAUCAUGAUGGUGAUGCUGGAGAUGGUGAUGACAGCAGCAACUAAUCCUUACAGAGCAUGUGCCAGAUAGUUUUCCAAGCACAUUAUAAAGAUUAAUAUAUUUUGUGUUCAGCUACUUAUGACGACUUUGUAGGGUAAGUACCAUUGUCCUUCUCAUUAAACACAUGAGAAAAUUGAGGCACUGAUUGGUUACAUAAUUUGCCGAAGAUCCCACAGGUAUAAGUGGUCAGGUGAGCUUUGAACCCAAGAAGUCUGACUUGAGUCUUAUGCUUAAUUUAUCCUAUGGUUGAUUGCAUUAGGUUGCUUUGGUUGCCGUAACAAAAUAUACAGGUUGGAUGGCUUCAACCACAGAAAUGAAUUUUUUUUUUUAGGCUAGAAUUCCAAUGUCAAGGUGUUGGAAGUUGUGGUUUCUUCUGAGGCCUCUCUCCUUGGCUUGCAGAAGGCUGCCUUCUUGCUAUAUCCCUACCUGGUCUUUCCCUGGGGUCUCCACAUCCUUGGGGUCUCCUUGUGUGUCCACAUCCCUGGGUCUCCUUGCACCACCAGUCGGGGUUAGAAUAGGCCUACCCUAAAGGUAUCUUCAUGUUAGCUUAAUCGUCUCCUCAAAGGCCCUAUCUCUGAUCUGGGCCAUAAUAGUGAACUUCUGAAGACCUGAUUCCCUGGCCUUCAAGUCUUCUGCCUUGUUUCGUUGUUGUGAUCUCUUUUUCUUCCCUCUCUACCUACCAUUCUACUCUGCUUACUUGCUCUGAACUUCUCCUCACAGAUGCUCAUAUCUUACAGACUUAGUCCCACUUGAGGAUGAGAUUAUGUCUCAUUUACGAGCCCAUUUCCAUGAGCUGUGAUGUCUGGAAUUAGUUGCUGCCCUGAGUCUGCUGUUGGGAUUAUUGUGGGAUGCUUGGGUGGCCUUAAGGUUGCAGCAUUUCCCCAGUUGGGUGUGCUUGGUUGUGAGGUUUUAAUCCUCAGUUUUCUGAUUACCCUCCACAUUCCUUGUAGGAGGGGAGCCCUGGCUUCGGUAUCAAUUUUGUGUUCAGCUACUUCAAAAAGUUCAAAACUCCUAGGUCCAGAUCCAGUUCUGAAGUGACUUCCAUGGUUCUUUAAGGUGAUGAUUGAUAAUUAGCAAAGUGAGUGGGAAAGAGAAAUCACAAUAGGAGGUUGAAAGAAAAUAGAAAAUAAUUAGAAUGAUACUGAACAGAAAGUAAGAAAUAAAAAAGAAGUGUUAUGUAAUGUGUCUUCUGGAUUGGAUAAUUUAUAGGAAAGUGUUUGAAAAGCCUUCAGUGGUCUCCAGUGGGAGGUGGCAUUAUUAUUAUAAUUGUGGAAUUUGUUUUAUUACCCUUACCUCAAGAUUCUGGUGGUUGUGAAAGGUGAACACAGAAAUAAAUCAGUAGGUAGAUUGGAAAUCCAGAAAGCUGGGGUGUUCUUGAGCAACUGUGGAUGGGGAAGCUAUCAUGUUGGAACUCUUGCCUGUCCAGUGAGCAUCCUUAAGGUCAAGGGAACAUUCAGCCAAGCUUCCCUGAAAAAGCAGCUGGAGGAUGUAGGGAAAGACCCCUCUCUGUUAUAAACAGAGGAGGGGAAGGCCAAUGUCCAGAUCAAAGCCAGGUGAGAUUAGUUCAAACUACAGGGAAAAAGUACAGGCCCCCCAAACACAGAGCAGCUCCAACCUGGGAGAGGGUCACAAAGAAUCAGAAAUACUCUUGCAAAUACAGCAGAGAAGGAGGUGAGGCUAGAUUAAAAAUAGGACAAGUAAUAAGUGCAGAAGGGGAUUGAAGCUAGUAAUGACUCAAAAACAGCCGAGCCACCGAACCUAUUUAAAAAUCCUCUUAAAAACAGAAGCAGAGAAGAAAAGGAACAUGAACAGGAGUGGCACAGGGAUGACCUUGAAGAAUCAUUAAGCCCAAACCAAGUGAGGGGCUAUUUCAUAGCUCAGAACAUGGAGAAAUCAGUGUAGGACGGCAGGAUUCUGAAGGCAUUAAGGGAGCUCGUGCUCUCUAAGCUAAUUAGUUCACACACUUACAGUUAUUUUGGGGGAAAGUAAUAGGGAUCUAAGGAUGCUAAGAGAAGGGGAUAUAAAAGGUAGUUUCAAUCUUAAACCGAGACAGAAGCCUUAUGGAAAUGCAGUUCGAUGCAGCGGAUGUCAGGGUACAAUGGGGGAUGUGAAGGAGGG